rnacentral:tRNA from 1 species
GCCGGUGUGGCUCAGCAGUUAGAGCGUCGGUCCCCAGACCAGAGGGUCCCGGGUUCGAUUCCUGGUCAAGGGCA